rnacentral:tRNA from 1 species
GCCGACGUAGCUCAACCGGCAGAGCAAGCGCCUUGUAAGCGCAAGGUUGCGGGUUCAAGUCCCGCCGUCGGCU